UACAGAGGUGGCAAGCGUUGUUCGGAAUUACUGGGCGUAAAGGGCGCGUAGGCGGCCUUCUAGGUCAGACGUGAAAUCCCCCGGCUUAACCUGGGAACUGCGUCUGAUACUGGGGGGCUUGAGUGCGGGAGAGGGAUGCGGAAUUCCAGGUGUAGCGGUGAAAUGCGUAGAUAUCUGGAGGAACACCGGUGGCGAAGGCGGCAUCCUGGACCGACACUGACGCUGAGGCGCGAAAGCUAGGGUAGCAAACGGG
rnacentral:rRNA from 1 species